rfam:Salmo salar isolate Sally breed double haploid chromosome ssa16, whole genome shotgun sequence.
AUUGCACCAAUUUGUAAGUCGCUCUGGAUAAGACCAUCUGCUAAAUGACGUAAA